rnacentral:rRNA from 1 species
UACGAAGGGGGCUAGCGUUGCUCGGAAUCACUGGGCGUAAAGGGUGCGUAGGCGGGUCUUUAAGUCAGGGGUGAAAUCCUGGAGCUCAACUCCAGAACUGCCUUUGAUACUGAGGAUCUUGAGUUCGGGAGAGGUGAGUGGAACUGCGAGUGUAGAGGUGAAAUUCGUAGAUAUUCGCAAGAACACCAGUGGCGAAGGCGGCGACCUGGGUAGAUACUGACGCUGAGGCGCGAAAGCGUGGGGAGCAAACAGG